CACGGGGAGAGAAGGAACCCUCGGAUGCCCCCAGAUCUCCUCUCCUCUCCCAGCCCCCACCCACUCAGCCCCAGGAAGGGUGGUGUGGCUGAACAAGCCAAUGCCUCUCCUGGAGGGAAUGUCAUCGAUGGAGGAAAUAAGCACUUUCCAGACACUUAGAAGCUGUCGCCAUCUCCUGAGGGUCCAGGCCAGGAGGGAAGCCCAGAGGUCAAGGACGGAGGGUUCGCCUCCACCGGGAAACUGGAAACGCAUCCAGGACCUGUUGAAGAAGCUGUGGUAGAGAAGUAUGGAUUUUAUUACAAAGAAAUCAGUGUUGUUGCUUUGAGCACCCUGUCCCCCAGCACGGCCGUGUCCCAGAGUCUGCACCUGCUCUCCUUCCCUGACUGGAAUGCAGCCCUCCUCCCUACCCCCAUGCAAGUCCUCCCUGGACCCCCAGGCCCAGCUCCAGAACCUCGCCCACCAGGGAGAGACGAGAGUAUGGUCUGCUUUGCUCUGCCCAGUGAUUCUUGGGGAAGCUGCCAAUCACUGGACGCAGGAUGCACCCUGUCCCAGCCAGACCAAUGCACGUCCCUCUUGCUGUGCUAGCCGGCAACAAUCCCGGUCUUUCCUGAGAUCUUUCUAACUGGAGUUACGGGAAAGCUAUUUUUCCUCCCUGGUCCUGAAGCUGUAGUUUGUAAGCCCGAAGCUACCUGUGGCCAAGGUUCCCACCUCAUGGAGACAGGAGGAUGGAGUAAGACAUCAGCACACAGAGGAGAGCAGAGAUGAGAGAAGGAGGGAGAAUGCCUCGUUCCCGCCGUCCCCAGAGCCAGCACCAGCCUUGCCCACAGUCUGAGCGCACGAGCCAUCUACUCCUUUGAUCCUCUCUUCCUUCCAUAAACUAGUCCAAGUUGAGCUUCUCUCAUUAAUAACAAGAAAAAAUCCUAACUAAAUAUUUGCUCCCAAAGCCUCCUCUGACUCAUUCUGCCUUCACUGUUCUCCUAGCCAAGAACAAAGGCUGCCGUCUACGGAGCUUCCACAACAUGCCAGACACAGGCUAGAUCUUUCAGUACAUCACCCAUACACACAUACACGCAUGCAC
rnacentral:lncRNA from 1 species